rnacentral:rRNA from 1 species
UACAGAGGUCUCAAGCGUUGUUCGGAUUCAUUGGGCGUAAAGGGUGCGUAGGCGGCGCGGUAAGUCGGGUGUGAAAUCUCGGAGCUUAACUCCGAAACUGCAUUCGAUACUGCCGUGCUUGAGGACUGGAGAGGAGACUGGAAUUUACGGUGUAGCGGUGAAAUGCGUAGAUAUCGUAAGGAAGACCAGUGGCGAAGGCGGGUCUCUGGACAGUUCCUGACGCUGAGGCACGAAGGUCAGGGGAGCAAACGGGG